UCUUUGCAUGCGCAGAAGAGGCGCGUGUGCUCACAUUUCUGAGCCAGUAGCGAAGCUUCUGGUCCUCCAAAGAUGCGUCUUGAGAAUGACUGAAUAAAUGCUUCCAUUCCCAAUGAAAGAGACAGGUAAGAGAGGGAAUUUUCUCGAAAGUGGGCAGCAGGGAUCAGCACCAUCUUAGUUUGGAGAAAAAAUGUCACCAGUUUAACUGUCCUAACUCAACAGUGCAUGGUUAAACGAUGGAAUUUGCACCUCAUGUCGAUGACCAACAAUUGAGAUGAUCUUAAAAGAGGAGAAGAAAAGCUCAUGGAUAAAUGGACUGACAAUAACUACUAGACAUUAACUGCCUCCUGAAUCAUAUACAGCAUAACUUAAAUACACUGGAAGGGUUCCAUCACCUUUGGUUUAUGUUCACAACCUUCUUGAAUAUGGUUUCACUGGAAUGUGUGCUAGAUAAGAAGGAUUUUUGGCCUGA